UGGAGGCCAUCAUGUGCGCUCCCAAUACAAUUUGUGAAAUUUCAAAUAGCGAUGACAGCAAGAAUCAACGCAUUAUUACAUUAUAAUAUAAGUUCCUUCAAGCAACACGAACUGUUGAUGACAUUUACCAUUCUGUCCGAUCUAUUUUUCCAAAAAUAGAUGUCAGAGAAAGGAAAAUAUCAAAGGAAAUUGACCGUUAAGACAAGGAGAUCCAAAGGUGAAGACAAUGGAGAGGCAACAUCCAAAAGCUCAAAAAAGAGUUUUUGUAGUCUUUGAAUUUACUCUCUCAUGAGUCAGUCCCACCUUCACCUUGUAAGGCUGCAAAAAACUCUACACAACUUUUUUGUACAGACAAUAGCAUCAUAAUUCAUAUCCCAUCUCUCAUCAAUACUCUCUAGAGCAUCAAAGAUCGCUCUCCCUCUCCCAUGCCCUCUUGAUAAACAGCCUGUCACCUCUUCUUUAUUACCACGUGUCGAUAUUUGAACACAUCUCAAACCCUUUGGACCACCCAGCCCACGUGUCUAUGGCCACCCCUUGCCGGCCGUGCCACGUGGACCCCCUUUAAGGACCACCUCAUAUUUCCUUUCUUUCUUUCUUUCUAUCUUUCAUUUACGUUUACAUUUAUACGCAUGUAUAUAAUGCUACUGCUACUACUACUCCUCUUGCUUCAUUUAUCAUAAUUCAUAUCAGCGUCAUCACCACUCUCAUCCCAUUUGCCAUUUUUUUACACACCCUCAAGUGCUUAUGCGUUCCUUCAAUUAUUUCAGGUCGUUUUCCUCAGGGGGCCAUGCUCUAAAGGAGUCCAAAACCAAAUGACUCACCAACCCAUGUUUUCUCAAUUCUUUUUUCUCACUUUCCUACCUUGUUCAAAUUUCA
rnacentral:lncRNA from 1 species